rnacentral:misc_RNA from 1 species
UUAAUGUAUUAUUACGUACAUUUCAGACAGAUAACAUGGUAAUGCAAGAGUUUGCUGUGUUUACCUCCCGUGGAGGCUCCCAUCGUCGCCCCGUGAGGGGCCACGCUGAGGUGGAAUUAACCACUGCUCCACGGAAGCAACAGGAUAUGGUACUCGGAAUGGGUUAAUAAAGUAUAUUCAGAAGAAUAUGCUAAAUCUUUUAAUGAUCCUUCCGCAGGUUCACCUACGGAAA